rnacentral:rRNA from 1 species
GACGAACGCUGGCGGCGUGCUUAACACAUGCAAGUCGAACGGAAAGGCCCUGCUUUUGUGGGGUGCUCGAGUGGCGAACGGGUGAGUAACACGUGAGUAACCUGCCCUUGACUUUGGGAUAACUUCAGGAAACUGGGGCUAAUACCGGAUAGGAGCUCCUGCUGCAUGGUGGGGGUUGGAAAGUUUCGGCGGUUGGGGAUGGACUCGCGGCUUAUCAGCUUGUUGGUGGGGUAGUGGCUUACCAAGGCUUUGAAGGGUAGCCGGCCUGAGAGGGUGAACGGCCACAUUGGUACUGAGAUACGGCCCAGACUCCUACGGGAGGCAGCAGUGGGGAAUAUUGCACAAUGGGCGGAAGCCUGAUGCAGCAACGCCGCGGGCGGGAUGACGGCCUUCGGGUUGUAAACCGCUUUCUCCUGUGACGAAGCGUGAGUGACGGUAAUUGGUAAAGAAGCACCGGCUAACUACGUG